GAUGAACGCUAGCGGGAGGCCUAACACAUGCAAGCCGAGCGGUAGAGUUUCUUCGGAAACUUGAGAGCGGCGCACGGGUGCGUAACACGUGUGCAACCUACCUUUAUCUGGGGGAUAGCCUUUCGAAAGGAAGAUUAAUACCCCAUAAUAUAAUGAUUGGCAUCAAUUAUUAUUGAAAACUCCGGUGGAUAGAGAUGGGCACGCGCAAGAUUAGAUAGUUGGUGAGGUAACGGCUCACCAAGUCAAUGAUCUUUAGGGGUCCUGAGAGGGAGAUCCCCCACACUGGUACUGAGACACGGACCAGACUCAUACGGGAGGCAGCAGUGAGGAAUAUUGGACAAUGGGUGAGAGCCUGAUCCAGCCAUCCCGCGUGAAGGAGGACGGCCCUAUGGAUUGUAAACUUCUUUUGUACAGGGAUAAACCUACCCUCGUGAGGGUAGCUGAAGGUACUGUACGAAUAAGCACCGGCUAACUCCGUG
rnacentral:rRNA from 1 species